GACGCAGUUAUCCAGAGCGACGAAUAGGAGUAAAUCGGGGCUAUGUGCCGCCCGAAAAAGAUGUCACAAACCUACCAAGAGAGGGCCACCCACCAAAACUGACGGACUAGGCAAGGAGGGCAUUAAUCAGCAGAUGAUAAACUUCCUAAAAUAUUCAGGACAUCAGCAGGGCUGAGUGUAAAAGCAGGAUGGCCAGUCCUAUUGUCGAGCCAUACUGGGCAACCGGAGGUAUGUCAACAAUGUUUAUCAACAUAAUGGAAUAUUGUAUGUGCUUAUUGACAAUGAAUUGUGCUGUGGGACGACAAUAUCAACAAUUGACACAGACACAGUUGAUAUGGUGAAUAAUAUUAGACCGACACAAAGGCUGUCAGUUUAUUUCCAGGCCAAGUUUCUGUGCUGUGUUUGUUUUUUCAAGGUGUGUCUGGCCUGCCUGGCAUCAUCUUUCCCCGGGAGUUAAGUGGGCCUACAGAAAAGUACUCAGAACAGCCUGAAAGUGAAGCCUGGGGAUGGAGUGACUUAACUCCCCGAAAGGGCCUGUGUUACAGGCAGAAGAUGUGCAUCUCGCCACCAGAUGGAAAGAUCCCACUCUCUGGAAACUUAGUCUCCCUGAUGUAUUUUGGCGGAGCGUGAAGUCUGCGGGUGACGGGGGUCGACGGCCACUCCCUGGAGAGACCCCUACCUACCCCGGGACUGGAGCCUGAUACAGAGGAGGCCUCUGACCAUCUCAUCCCUGGGCUCCACCUCCGCCCUGGGCUCCACCUCCAGGGAUCCGGCGCAGCCUGGUCCUGCAUCCAGUACCCCAUGCAGGCCCGCCUGUAUGCCCUGUGUCCCUGCAACCCCCAGACUCCCACUGAGUCUGAGCAGGGCAUUCUCAGUCUAGAGGUGGAGAAUAAGGUGAAGUUCAGAGACAGGCACAAAGAGGCUCAAGAGGAGGAGGAUACGGCAGCCCUGAGGUCUAAAGUCAUAUACAGUAUGAUCCCGAGAGAGACUUCUCCAACUACGGAAUCACACCUCCUAGGGGGUUCUCCUUUAUGGCCCCACGGGAACAGGAAAGACUGUGAUUGGAUGAGCCAUAGCCAAUGAGGUCGGGGCACAUAUGACCGUAAUCAACCGUCCAUAAAUCAUUAGCAAAUUUUAUGGUGAAACAGAGGUCAGAUUGAGGCAGAUAUUCACAGGAGCCUCUCAAAGGAGGGCCACUCAGGCCAGCUGCUGAUCCUAGGGGCCACCAACCGGCCCCACGCCCUGGACCCAGCUCUCUAAAUCAAAAUGUAUUUGUCACAUGCGCCGAAUACAACAGGUGUAGACCUUAACGUGAAAUGCUUACUUACAAGCCCUUAACCAACAAUGCAGUUCAAGAAAGUUAAGAAAAUAAAAAAUUAUUAA